GCUUACGACCACACCGGCCUGAGUAUGCCUGAUCUCGUCUCAUCUCGGAAGCUAAGCAGGGUCGGGCCUGGUUAGUACUUGGAUGGGAGACCGCCUGGGAAUACCAGGUGCUGUAAGCU
ensembl:rRNA 5S_rRNA 5S ribosomal RNA